rnacentral:rRNA from 1 species
CAUGCUAGGACGAGUUUGAUCCUGGCUCAGAACGAACGCUGGCGGCAGGCCUAACACAUGCAAGUCGAGCGAACCCUUCGGGGUUAGCGGCGGACGGGUGAGUAACGCGUGGGAACGUGCCCUUUGCUACGGAAUAGCCCCGGGAAACUGGGAGUAAUACCGUAUGUGCCCUUCGGGGAAAGAUUUAUCGGCAAAGGAUCGGCCCGCGUUGGAUUAGGUAGUUGGUGGGGUAAUGGCCUACCAAGCCGACGAUCCAUAGCUGGUUUGAGAGGAUGAUCAGCCACACUGGGACUGAGACACGGCCCAGACUCCUACGGGAGGCAGCAGUGGGGAAUCUUAGACAAUGGGCGCAAGCCUGAUCUAGCCAUGCCGCGUGAUCGAUGAAGGCCUUAGGGUUGUAAAGAUCUUUCAGUGGGGAAGAUAAUGACUGUACCCACAGAAGAAGCCCCGGCUAACUCCGUG